rnacentral:misc_RNA from 1 species
AGUGCAGUUUUCUUGCUCUCAGGAACAACUUCAGGAUUUAGUGGGCAAGCUAAAAGAUGCCUGCAAGUGUUUAGAGAGAAUCAGUCAAGGAUAGUGAUACUGGAAGAAGAUAAAAGAUUAGUCUUUAAAACUAUCCAUGCAUAGAAAUAUAGAGAAUGGUAUAUGUAAAUGUACUUACUCAUGUAUUAGACAUGAGGACUUCGUAAUUAAAGUUGAUUUGUUUUAAAAGAAUAGUUUUCAAAGUUAUUCAUGUAUAAAAAUAUAUAGAAUGUUAUAUGUGAAUUACACAUGUAAUAGAUAGAUCUAUAUGAUAUCAUUAAAAUGGAUUUGUUUUAUUUCAAAAUAAAAUUUUACUCAUUUAAAAUUGUAAAACUGUAUAUACAUGUAAAUUGUAAUGAAGAGCUUCAGAAAUCAUCGAUCAUUCAGUGAAUAAUAGACUGGCCUGUAGCAAACUUGAACUUGUGGUUAAUUGAUGUUGUUAUUAUGUAUUAAUUCAGUUAAUUACGUUAAAAUGGGGACAGCUGUAAAAACAGACAACUGAAGCCUUGUAAAUCAUUAACAGGUGUUGUUAUUUUUAGAAUCUUUAAUAAACAAAUUAAUUAAUA